rnacentral:rRNA from 1 species
CGACGUGGAUAACCUGCCUCAUACAGGGGGAUAACAGUUAGAAAUGACUGCUAAUACCGCAUAAGCGCACAGAGAUGCAUGUCUCGGUGUGAAAAGCUGAGGCGGUAUGAGAUGGAUCCGCGUCUGAUUAGCUGGUUGGCGGGGUAGAGGCCCACCAAGGCGACGAUCAGUAGCCGACCUGAGAGGGUGGCCGGCCACAUUGGGACUGAGACACGGCCCAAACUCCUACGGGAGGCAGCAG